AUGAUGUCACAUCACAGAUCACUGUGGGUCCUAGGCAACCACCCAUCAGAAUGCACAGGGGCCGUGACACAGCAGCUCUAUGCAGCUACACCAGGGGAAGCUCUCUCAAGUUCUGUAUCAGGGGGAUCCAAGAUCCUGAUGGAGGAGCUACAAGUCAGAAAAGGCAGUAGUGACAAGAGUCUGAGACAGGCUGGAGCAGUCCCUGCCUGGCAGGAAGAGCCUUCAUAUCUGCCAAGAGAGUACGGCUAUGCUAGAUAUUACUUCUGCCUUACUAUUUGAUGAUUUCAUAAAUAUCUAUUUUAAAGUCACCUUGGAAUUGCUCGAUCACUUUCAGUUAUCUUGAUUUCAUAGAUAGCUCUUCUUUUAAUGUGAAAAUUCUAAUUAGCACAGAAGACUAAUUGCUAAAUUUUUUUUAAAAAAUACUAAAAAUAUCCAUACAUACUUUCAUCUGAGAAUUGGAGAAGUAGUCACGAUUUGUUUUUAAAGAUGGAGCAUGCAAGCCGUGUUUCAUGUAAACCAUCUGAACACACACGGACAGUCAUAAGCCUAUCGCAUCUAAUGUGCAUGCCAACAGAGGCAAGAGGAUGGUGCAGCUACCAGCACCUCCUGCCUGCACCCCCUGCAGCAGCAGCCUCCCCAGCUCCUUUACUCCCUCCCAUGGUCUAUUCCCUGCACAGAAGGACUUUCAAAAAUUUACUUUAGGCCCAACCCCUUCCUCAUGUCAUUGGCUUUUUACCACUGGUGAUAAAAAUCAAACACCUUAAAAAACUCUUUACCCAUGCUAAGUGUUUUUGAUAUUUUAAUUUGCAAAUGGAGCAUCUGAUAAUCUCAUGAAAAUGCAGAUUCCCACUCAGCAGGCUGAGAGGAGGGGCCUGAGGUUUUGCAUUUACAACAGACUCCCAGGGGACACUGAAGCCACCAGCACACUGUGAGGGGCUCAGUCCUACACAGUCUGGUCUUCACUUGACUCUCCUAUCUCAUUUCACAAAAUUAGUAAGAAGAAUCAAAUUACAUAUAUAGGAAAGCCAAUUAGACUAACAGGAGACUUCUUAGCAAAAGCCCUAGAGUCCAGAAGAGAGUAGGAUUCAAGGUCAUAAAAGAAAAACUUCCAAACAAGGAUAUUAUAUCCAGCAAAGUUAUCCUUUAGAAAUGAAAGAUAUAAGUAUUCCCUAGAUGAUCAAAAACUGAGAGAAUUCACUGCCACCAGACCAGUCUUACAAGAAAUUCUAAAGGGAGUCCAAUAUUAAAAGUCAAGCUCAUGAAAAUACGAGACAUCACAAAAUCCACUAAUAGAGCUAGUAGAAACAGUAUCUAACCAAUAAAAUGACAGGUGUCAAUUCUUAUGCA
rnacentral:lncRNA from 1 species